AGCCAGAGUUUCACCCUGUUGUCCAGGGUGGAGUGCAGUGGUACGAUAUUGGCUCACGGCAACCUCCGCUCCUGGGUUCAAGCGAUUGUCCUGACCCCGUCAGGGGGAAGGAAGGGGAGACCCUGUUGGCAUCACUAGAGAAUCUGGGUCAAGCCAUGCCUGAAGCUGGUCAAUCCAUGGCCCUCUGCAUUUUAGGAGCCAGUUUUGUGAAAUUUCCCUCUGACGCUGCUACUCUGAUGGUUGGCAUUUCCGGGCUGACUGCAAGAGGCCAUCCUGGUGGGGCUGGACCCCCUUCGCUCUGGCUGGUGAAGUCACAGCUCGGGACACCCAGAAUCCUGGCUCCUCCAAGUACCUCAGCCUGCGUGGGUACGGGUGCACUGUCUGUGAGCACUGACUGUAUAUCGAACCCUGGGCAGAUCUUGGGUGGGGACACAAGCAGCCUUAUGGCUUUCAUAACCCCCGCGCCCGCCAGGCUCCCAGGAAAACCCCGGCCCUCAGCCGAAAAUAUGCUGGAAGAACUCCCCGGGACCCUGGCGUCAACACCACCCUCUCUUCUUUACCAUCACUUCUUUCCCUGCCUCUCAAUCAACGCUUCCAUUCUGCACUCUAUUAACCAAUACUUGUUCUGAUGCUGGAAUUAUGAGGCCUUUCUUCUUGAUCAGGCCAACUCCUACUCAUCCUUCAAAACCCAGAAAUGCCACCUUCUUUGUGAACCUUUCCCAGUUUCCCAAAAGCAGGCACUCCCUCACUCCUGGUGCUGCCAAAACACUGUGUGAACGAGGGAAUGACCCCAGCUGCCCUGGCGAGUUUCCCAUGGGGAUGAGCGUGCUCUCUCCGUGGGGAUGGCAUCAAACAGAGACCCAGCAAGUGAGGACUGGCCGUGUUCAUCUAUAGGAGCACAAAUGCAAAGACCCUAAGUGGGCAGCCUGCUUGGCAAGUGUGAGAAACAGCGGGGAAGCCAGGAGCAGAGAGCAGGGUAGGGGAGAAGCUGGGGAGGGAGGAAGAAGUAGGAGUGAGGUGACACAACUGAAUGGCUUGGUGCAACACACCGCACAGUAAUGACCCCUGUAACUUUCCCAUUCUCAUAGCAGCCAUGUGGGAACUUAGACCCCGGGGGCAAGGGACAGGCUCAAGGGCACACAGCCAUCCAGUGGCAGAGUUAGCAUUGAACCCAAGGCUGUCUGUCCCCGAGUUCAUGUCUUGCGGCAUCACCUUGCAGCAUCCCGUAAGGGGCAGAACAAGAGGCUGAGUUCCAUGUCCCCAUUGUCACUCCCACCUGGCUGGUUACCCUGUAGACCUGGGGCCCAGGUAGGCCAGGCUUCCCGCCUAGGAGGAUCCCUCCUAACCCCAGUUGGCUUGGUUGGCUUGGCUGGCUUGGCUGGCUUGGCUCUAGUCUUCUGCCUUUAUUUCCACAUAAACAACUCCACCAUAUAUGUGAGGGACGCCAUCCCUGGUUGCUGCUCCUACAUGGUCCCAGGCCAGAGACAGGCUCUUACCAAUGCCAGUGUAUUUGGUGGAGGCCAUGCUGGCCUUCCUGGAAGACCCCUGUGCAGAGUGGGUGGUACAGGUGCCACUGUGUCAUAGUCAUCUGCCUCUCCAGCACCUGCAGCUUGAGUAUGAGUCCUGCCACUCAAGGGGCUAUGUGCCAGGCCCUGUGCUGGGCACCGUAUACAUGGAGCUGACCCUCAGGGUCUCG
rnacentral:lncRNA from 1 species